rnacentral:rRNA from 1 species
UACAGAGGGUGCGAGCGUUAAUCGGAAUUACUGGGCGUAAAGCGUGCGUAGACGGUUAUGUAAGUCAGGUGUGAAAGCCCCGGGCUCAACCUGGGAAUUGCAUUUGAGACUGCAUAGCUAGGGUGCGGAAGAGGGGAGCGGAAUUUCCGGUGUAGCGGUGAAAUGCGUAGAUAUCGGAAGGAACACCAGUGGCGAAAGCGGCUUCCUGGUCCAGCACCGACGUUCAGGCACGAAAGCGUGGGGAGCAAACAGG